rnacentral:rRNA from 1 species
UGCAAGUCGAACGCGAAAGGGACUUCGGGUCCUGAGUAGAGUGGCGCACGGGUGAGUAACGCGUAGAUAACCUGUCUUCAUGUCUGGAAUAAUACGCCGAAAGGGGUACUAAUACCGGAUAUUCUUGCUUUUCAUAAGUUAUGCAAGCAAAGGUGGCCUCUGCAUAUGCUACUGCAUGAAGAGGGGUCUGCGUACCAUUAGCUAGUAGGUGGGGUAAUGGCCUACCUAGGCGACGAUGGUUAGCGGGUCUGAGAGGAUGAUCCGCCACACUGGCACUGGAACACGGGCCAGGCUCCUACGGGAGGCAGCAGUGAGGAAUAUUGCGCAAUGGGGGAAACCCUGACGCAGCGACGCCGCGUGAGUGAGGAAGGCCUUCGGGUCGUAAAGCUCUGUCAAGAGGAAAGAAGUGUACAAUGGCUAAUACCUGUUGUAUUUGACGGUACCUCUAAAGGAAGCACCGGCUAACUCCGUGCCAGCCGCCGC